GUUGUUUACCAACACUUCGUGUAUUACUGUAUUAGUUUGGAAUGUAUGGGGGUAUUGGUCAAAUUCAACGGAAAACUUAGACAAGACGACGAUGUUGCAGUGCAGUGUAACUUGCAGAUCUAUGCAAGAGGUCUAGCUGUCUAGGAACCCUAGGCUCUAUCUGCUUAGUACAGUAGUAGCCAUAGUGGGACAUGAAAAGAACGUAUUAGACUCGGCGAAACCUACCAAAUAGGACAGUGAUAUCAUCUGUGAAUGACUGACCAUGCUGAUUAUGUCAAAGCUGUGGAAUAUUUCUAUAUGAUCAUCGUACUCAUCAAAGACAGAACAGAAUGCAAUAUAUGCGACCAAAAAUGACCAAGACAAAAGAAAAAUGUUAUAUAGGGAUUUAGGAAGUGGAUCAUCCAUUUUCCUUGCCUUUCCCUCGAGGUCUUCAGACAGUGUCUCUAUACAUCAUUAACCAUGUUGAUUAGCUCUCAUGAUGUCAUGCCAUUACUGCAAGGGUACCUAUAAUACUGCCAGACUACCUACAAUGAUACCAAAAUAUCAGAAUUAAAAUUUCAAAUACACAAAAUGUGAAGCAGCAAAAGAAAAGAAUUGCAGAUGUAUAAUACACAAAAGGAUAUUGAUUCUUACUGGGCUGAAAUGAAUUAAUAGUUCAACUUUCAUUCAACUGUUUUACUGCAUACCAGUCAAUAAUUCCAGUCAACAUAAG